rnacentral:lncRNA from 1 species
CCAGGCUCACUUGAGGAAUGUCGCCUACAAGCAGCGCAUCUCCAACUACUAUGACUCAAGGGUUAAACCUCGUUCUUUCAAAGUAGGGGACUGGGUAUUGAAGAAAAGAUUAUUCUGUGACAGAGUCCCGAGUGAAGGAACACUUAGUCCAAACUGGGAUGGACCGUUUGAAGUUGUUGGCAUCAGUCGCCCUGGCUUCUACAAGCUUAGAAGCUCCGAUGGCAAGACCCUUGGCCAUCCAUGGAACGCUGAUCACUUGAAGUACUAUUACAAGUAAACUCACAUUGUAAAAGUGUUAAGCUUCAGCCGUUCGGCAUCCUAUGUAACGAAGACUAUUUGGCAUGAAUUCAAUAAAGAGGUGAUUUAGACAACUCGAUCCUAAUCUUCUUACAUUCCUAGCAAUGAAACACUCGGGUUCAAAGCUUCAACAUGAAUGCUUCCAACAUGAAACAAAGUCUAAGUAUAUGUCAACAAGACUAUACAAAUAAACGAACAGCUUCACAGUAUAUUCGUUCAAUCAUACAUUCCAACACAUUCAUACAUAAGCCAACUGUGCUUUAAAAGGGUUCAACAUAUUUUGUGUCAUUCAACACUUGCUAUAAUGUGCCUAGACACCUUACCCUUAUUCUCACCAACCAGGUGAUGAAAUGUGAAGAAGAAACUCAUCUUCAUGCCACGAACCGGGUGAUGAAAUGUACAACCCGUACUCUAAUAUCAUUUGGUAACUUGCCAUUCAUGCCACCAACCAAGUGAUGAAAUGUACAACCCGUACUCUCCUUCAUGCCACCAACCAGGUGAUGAAAUGUACAACCUGUAC